rnacentral:rRNA from 1 species
UACGGAGGGUGCGAGCGUUGUCCGGAAUCAUUGGGCGUAAAGGGCGCGUAGGUGGCCCGGUCAGUUCGUGGUGAAAGCGCGGGGCUCAACCCCGGAUCGGCCAUGCGAACUGUCCAGCUGGAGCACGGUAGAGGCACAUGGAAUUCCGGGUGUAGCGGUGGAAUGCGUAGAGAUCCGGAAGAACACCGGUGGCGAAGGCGGCUCACUGGACCGGUACUGACGCUGAGGCGCGAAAAGCGUGGGGGAGCAAACGGGG